GCCAGCGUGGCAUAGUGGUUUGAGUGCUGGACCACAGCUCUGGACCAGGGUUUGAUUCCCAGCUUGGUCA